rnacentral:lncRNA from 1 species
GGCGUCCGCUAGGGCGCGCUGCGAGACCGGGAAUGCCCGCCCGGCGCCCCGCCGCCCCGGCCGCGCGCACACGCCGUGCCCUCGCCCCCCUCGAAAUCAUAUUUACAGUUCUUUUUUUUCCCCCCUCUCCUGUGACAUUUUCUCCAAAUCGGAAAAUGAAGUGUAAGUCGAGCUUUGCCGCAGGCGGCCCUCGGUCUCCGCUUUCCGGCUCGGGGUCCCGGAGUGAGAUGCGCUGCCCCCGGCAGUGCGAACCCCGGGGGACGGAGUGGGGCCCCCAGCCCAGCACCCCGGGCCCGGCCGCUCCGCCAGCGGAGACCGCGGAGUCCGGCUCUGCGCCGCGCGCGGGUGCGCUCCGGACGCGGCGAGUCGCAGGCCUCGCCGCGGGUUCAAGUGCAUCCCCGCGGCUGGAGCCCGCGGCUCUGAGAGCGAGUUCUGCCCUGCUCAGCCCCCUCUGGGAGUUCUGUGCGCCCGCGGCUCCCGGGCCCCUCUCCCCGACCCCGCAGCGCGCUGGGCCGCCGGCUGGGGGCAGGCACCCGGCUCGCGCUCCUCCUGGCCCGGGCCGGGCCCCCGGCGCGGCGCUGCCCCCGGGCCGAGCAGGAGGCUCCGCCUGGAAAAGAAGUCAGACUUCCUCUCCACGCUGCUCCGACUGGAAUCUGGAAUCGGCAGGAAAUUGCUCCAACACCCGGGCCGCGCCUUUGCAGUCAGCCCUCGCUUUGCUGAAGAGAAGCAGCUCCCACCAAAGUCUUGCCUCCCCCUCCCCCCGAAAGCCCCGCGCAGGUUUGUAAAGAGGGGUGCGAGAUCUGAGAAGUAUUUGUCUUCUCGGGAGAGCGAGGUCGGUGACGGCGCCCAAUGAAAGACGGGUGCUUUUUCGCUAGACAGAGUCCCAGGGCCAGGUCUGGGUUUGCAGCUCCAAAAGGAUGCAGACGCUGCCCACUGAGGAGGCAAUAUUAGGAGUGUAUUAAUUAGAAGUUAGUGAGAUAGGAAAUAAAUGGACAGUGACACAUUUCGUGGCGUCAUUUUUCCUGGAUGGCCAAGGUUUUAAGCUGCAUUUAAGAAUUAGCCACAUUUUGCCAGAGAGUAAAUAUUUUUACGUAAACCCCUUGCUAAAGCCCAGAAGAGGUAAGUUAAGUUGCCACGUAAGAUCCUGCAGUUUCCUAUAGAGACUUGCACAGGUUGUUACUAGGAUGAAAAUGCCUUGUAUUUCUAAUUUUCCAGACGGCAAGAGCAUUUGAUUUUUAUGUGGCAAAGUAAUGUUCAAGGCAAAUGGAGCGCCAAGCCUCUUUAGAUAAGCAAUAUUCACUUGACGCUUCUAGCCUAAAAUAAAUAUAAUUACCUUAGUGGGAAUUAUAGCCCAAUAUUUUAGAUUUUUGUUGUUGUAAGUUAUAUGAAAAAAGUAUUGUUUUUGUUUUUGCUUUUUUUAGAAACCUUGUUUAUUGUCAUUUGCAAAGUAUUGACUUUGAGAUAGCCUGGGCUGGAGCAUCGAAGUUAAAAAAGCAGACAAGUCCGUUUAAAUGUGGUUUGAUCUUUACUCUCCAAGGCUUUAAGAGCUAAUAAAAACAAUUAAAAGGAAUGAAUAGGAAUAAUAAAAUUCCUUUUUUGACUCAGUAUGCCUGCCUCGGGGGAAGGGACCGCUGACAUGUCGGUGACUCGCCUUUGAGCCAUUCCCGGCAGACAGCAACUGUGAAUGUGGUCGGUCAGUGUUGCCUUUGAAAAUGAAGGGCAAGUUUAUGGAAGUACAGAAACAAAUAUUUUAGUACAUAGGAUUUUCUCCAUUGUCCAGACUAAAAGUUUUGUCUUUAAAAUUUUAUGAUAAACGUUUUUUCGUCGAUUUGUGAAGUUCAGAAGGAAACUUUUCUACUUGUAUGAUUUUGUUCUGUGUUCGAGUUUCAGAUCGCAGUUCACCUGUCCUUCAGAAAAAAUAUUUUCAUAACUAUUAAAAACAGCAUCACGACUAGUAUUUUUAACUGUCUUCAGGUAGAUAUAUGAUUGCUGUCAGAGCCUACAAGAAAAGCCUGGAGCCAUGCACUCACCCGGGCGAAGCCAUAAAGAGGUAGUAGCGUGGGAAUCAUCUAGAAAAAACAUCACCUUCACAAAGCAUCCAUCCGAAGGGCACACAAAGCACAUCUCUCAAAGCAAGUGGCACUCUGUCCAGCCAAGCAGCUACCCAUCUGGGACAGUGCUUCCAGUCUCCUGUGCAUCUAGCUGGGGUCAUGUGACGAGUUUUCACCACUGGAAAACGAGCAGAAGGAGCAUUUCUAAGAAGUGAAUGUGCCAUCUCCACUAUCUCUGAGGGCAGGAAAUGAUUCUGAAGACAUAGGGCAAGGCCAAGCCUCAAGUUAGAAACCUGAAUCCUUCAUCCCACAGCUUUCAAGCUCAACAUGCCCAUCCCUCCCCAGACCCAUUAAGUGGCAAAGAAGGGAAAUAUUUCUACUUUCUUCAUGGUCUUCGAAAGGAUGGACACACAGCCCUGAGGGAAAUCGCUGGCCAGAGGAAAGCAGUCCCCUAGAGAUAGCAAUCCAAAUAUCAUCAUAGAGCUGGGCCACAGCCAGCAUCUCCAUCAGCAACUUUGAAGAGUUGUCUGUCUUCCCAGCACAAUAAAACUGGAGACAUGAGCAUCCAGAGCUCCAGCCAGCACAAUUACAUGAAGCCAAAGCGCAUUAUCACUUCUAGGUUGCAGGAUUUAUGACCAGCUCCGAUGGAAAAUAAAGACAGAGAUACUCUACUUGUCUGAAUUCAUCACUCACAAAAGGCAGUAUGUUUUAAUCAUAGAGAAGUUGUCUAUAUUGUACUUUUUCUAACAAAAACCUUCACAAGCAGAGCAGAAACGGAUACCAGCAUCUUAAAGAAAAAAAGAAAAAUGCAAAAGAUUGCCAGUUUGAUUCUGUUCAGAAAAUAUGCCCUUGAUAUCCUUUAUUGUUGAAAAGCUCCUUUCAAAUGCAUUGAGGCAAGUGCUUCUAUUUUGGAGUUUCCCUGGGUUUGGGAAACUGCUUCUAACCUGAGUGGAACAGAGGGGUAGGUUUGUAGGUCUGUAUGGUGUAUCAGUGUCAGCUGAUCCAGGGACUAAGUAAUGAGGCUAAAAUCAUUCUACUUCUAGGAUGCCUGUGACUUCCAUUUGCCAUGAGAGUGUUAAUUCCUGUGGCAGUACGCCUGCCAUGAGCUCCCCCAGAGCCAUGCUCUUCACCAGCACAGCAUUCUCAGGCAUUACUACAGAUGCUCAUUAAUCAUCUCUACUCUAGGAGGUACGCCCUGUGAGCUCAGACUCUUGGUGUUCCUGGCUCAGUGCUAGGACAUGGUGAAUGCAGAAAAUAUUGAAGAGCUCUGAUUAGGUUGUGAUUUUAAGUAAUUAAAAUUCUUGGGCUGGCCCUGUGGCAUAGUGGUUAAGUUCAGCAUGCUCCACUUCAGCAGCCUGGGUUCAGUUCCAGGGUGUGGACUCAAACCACUCAUUGGUGGCCGUGCUGUGGUGGCGACCCACAUACAAAAUAGAAGAAGAUUGGCACAGAUGAUAGCUCUGGGAGAAUCUUCCUCAAGCAAAAAGAGGAAGAUUGGCAACAGGUAAUAGCUCAGGACCAAUCUUCCUCAGCAGAAAAAAAUUAUUUACAAGGACCAUUUGUUUUCACUGUUAGUUCCCUCAUAGACAAAGAAAGGGUAAACCAGUGUGGUUUUUGUCUAAUGUUUUCAAAUUUUGAAUUAUUUAAAUACAUGUUGGUGAAAUUGCUAUUUAACUGUUUAUCAGAACCAAAAUUACAGCCUCAAACCUUCCACAAAAUGGAAAAGACUGUUUGGAAAAGGAAGGAAGGUGCCACAUAAUCCUUUAAACACAAGAUUCAGCCCUUACUUCUACUGAUGCUUGGAAUAGCUCCCAAAACCCUAAAAGUGGGUUUGUUUCCGGAACACCUGGACCAGAGACCACAUUUUUAUGAGAGCACAGUGAGUAAAUUUCUGCCUCUUCUCCCUUUUAAUGUGUUCAACUUGGUUUUAAACAUGC